CCUCUGAAGGUGAGGCUGGUCACUGGGUCACUCUGUCUGUCCCCUUUCUCCAGGUUUGGAAGAUUACUGGCUCUCUGUAUCACACAGCGAAGCAUCUCACAGUCAGGGAGCAAUCCACAGACACAGGAUAAAGUCCAGAUCACAGGGACCAGCAGAGCAAAUCACCCAGAUCACAGCAACAGAGACCCCUGGCCAGCACUGCUCUGCAGAUCACAGCAAUAGAGACCCCUGGCCAGCACUGCUCUGCAGAUCACAGCAACAGAGACCCCUGGCCAGCACUGCUCUGCAGAUCACAGUAACAGGGACCCCUGGCCAGCACUGCUCUGCAGAUCACCACAGCAUAGCUCCCUGGAUAGCAAUGCUCUGCAGAUCACAGCCCAUGUACAGCACUCCUGCACAGCCCUGUGCCAGUCACU